rnacentral:rRNA from 1 species
GCUCACAGGAUAGGCGGCCGGUAGAACCUGCGUGGUUUGGAACGGGAAAGCGCGACGGGAACCUCCGGGAUAGGAGUGAAUAUCUCUGAUUCCUGGACGAACCGCCGAGGGCAAAGGCGCCUCCCGAAAACGGAUCCAACGGGGAGGAACAAAAGCCAGGGACUCGAACCGAAUUAAAUACCCGGGUAGCCCUGGUCGUAAACAAGGUCUGCUAGGGGUGGCUCCCACUGCGAGUGGUGGCUGGGUCGUAGGGAACCCGCUAAUCUGACCGCCGGGAAAGUACGUCCGCAAGGAUGAAACUUAAAGGAAUUGGGGGGGAAGCACUACAAGCGGAAGAGCCGGCGGUUUAUUUGAACUCACCGCCGGACUUCUCACCAGCAUCAACUGUAAUAGUGACGACCAGUUUGAUGACCUUGUCCGAGUUUCAGAGAGGAGGUGCGUGGCCGCCGUCUGCUCGUACCGUGAGGCGUGCUGUUAAGUCAGGCAACGAACGAGACCCGCACCCUUACUUGCCAGCAGUACCGCGAGGUAGGUGGGGACAGUACGGGGACCGCCGUGGCUAAGACGGAGGAAGGAACGGGCAACGGUAGGUCAGUAUGCCCCGAAUGUGCUGGGCAACACGCGGGCUAACAUGUUCAAGACAAAGGGUUCCCACUCCGAAAGGAGACGGUUAUCUCAAAAACUCGAUCGUAUUUCAGAGUGUGCGCUGCAACUCGCCCACAUGAAGCUGGAUUCGGUAAUAAUCCGUGUCACACGCGCGCGGAGAAUACCUCCCUUCUCCUUGC